rnacentral:rRNA from 1 species
GGUUGAUCCUGCCGGUAGCAUAUGCUUGUCUCAAAGAUUAAGCCAUGCAUGUCUAAGUAUAAACAACUUUAUACUGUGAAACUGCGUACAGCUCAUUACAACAGCAAUAAUUUAUUUGAUGGUACCUUACUACAUGGAUACCCGUAGUAAUUCUAGAGCUAAUACAUGCGCAAAAUCCCGACUCUCACGGGAAGGGAUGUAUUUAUUAGAUACAAAACCAAUGCGGCCUUCUGGGUCGGUCUGUUGGUGAUUCAUAAUAACUGAUCGAAUCGCAUAGCUUCACGCUGGCGAU